AAUCUCUCAUGUUGCUUGAAGCAAGGCACAUGAGUGCGUUUAAAACUAGCUAAAAUGCUUUCUAACUGGGUGUCUAACUGGACAGCGAGAUUAAGAUGACUUCAAUUCUUCCGCGUGACGGUCCGAUUUGAAGGCAGCAUCGAAGCCUAUGAACCCAUAAAUCUGCGCACCAGAUCCCUCAAGACCGAACACAUUUUAAAAAGAUGUUGGGCCAAAUUGUCGACUCCUGCGACUUCAUUCACAAAUGGUCGUCUAAUGAUAUAGCCAAAUUUAUCCGGGCCAGAGGGCAGGCAGAACACUUGUUCACCGGGCAGAGGAACAGUGCUGUGGAAGGGUGGAAACAGGUACUCAGUUCCAUUGGCCUUGGGACCAAGGUCAGCCCGCAACAAGCGAGAAAAAAGUGGGACAAUUUAAAAAGAAAAUAUAAGGAGCUGAAGUGUCCACCCACAGGGACAGGUACGGAUAAUAAAGUGGACACGGCUGCCUCGUGGUCAUGGUACUCUGCCAUGGAUGAGCUGCUUGGCCAGAGGCACUCUACAUCACCACCCGUGGUGCGUGCCUCAAUGGCCUGCAUCUCAUCCAUGGCAGAGCUACAUUCCUCAUGUGCCAUGUCUUCCCCACCAACGCGAGAGGAGAGAGUGGAGUGUGAAGUGGAGAGGCAGGAAAGGGGAAGGGAGCUUAGUAGCUUCAUGGAUUUCCUGAGGGAGAGCAUCGAGGCAGAGCAGGCUAGGGAGGAGGAGAGGCAGAAGAAGGCUGAGGAGCGGUUCAGCCGACUUUUGGCAAUCCUCGAGAGGAUUGCUGAAAAAGUAAUAAAUAAUUAAACAUUUACAGCAUUAUGUUUUUUUUUUGUAGAUUUUUAGAUGACACAACAACAGAGUUCAGUUAAGUUAAAAUAUCUUUUUUUUUUUUUAAAAGCUCCCCAAGCAAGCCAAAAUGAAUCUGGGCAACAGUGGCGAGGGCGGGCCUAGGCUCAGGGAGCGACCACCCUCCUUGGUCAUUCUUUAGAAACUGCCUGCAAUUAUAAAAUAUUAACAAAAUUGGUUAGAAAAUGCAUGCGUUCAUUCAUUCAUUCAGAACAUUAAGCAAUACCUAAAUCAGAAAGGAUACAAGAAGCUACAGCGCACGCCGGGAGGGAGCAAACAAGUUUAAUUACACAGCGUGCUGACGUCACACGUUACCGUAAAUGCUAUCCUAAAAGGUCGUUUGAAACCAAUGGUUUUUGAAAAUGCCUUCACUCGAAGUCAUGUAUUGUGAGACACCUGUCUAUUAUGGCAACGAGGCAGCAACCUUCCGUUUCGUACGCACUCCAUGUAGUCCAUUCUUUUUCUACUUUGGCAUAUCGGUAGAAACAUCUUUAUUUUUACUGAUCAAGACAACAGUACGUUACGAAAGAUAACCACA
ensembl:lncRNA